ensembl:lncRNA
GGUACCUAAAAAAAAGUGUGGUUCCUACAGUCUUCGCAUGGAAUAGUCACAUUCAAAACAGACCUGGUGUUUGGGGAAGUUGACCGAAACCCCCUGCCCCUAAAGAGGAAGACGAGGCGAGAAAUGUUCGCUAACAACGAUGGACUAUACAGUCUCUGAUCCAAUCUAGAGGCAUGAUUACUGUGCAGGCCCUGAUCCCGCAGCUAUGGAUAUGGCCUUAAUAAUGGCGAACCAGGAGCAAGCAAGAGAAAUCCAGGAACUUUGAACAAAGCUGGAAAACCAGAAAACACAACACCACUUUCGUGUACAGUGCUUUACUGGGAUCUGACGAAGACAGGUUUUUACACAAGGAGACACAGGGAAAAGCUCUGGGAGCACUUCUCUGAAAGCCGGAACCUGAGGGACUGCAGUAUCAACGCCUCUGGGCUCAUGUCUAAAUCCAGCCCCAGGUCUCAUUGCGCUCAGCAGCUUCAGAAGUGCUGCAAAUCUCCUCAAGGGGGCAGCAGUCUGACAGCUGACACACCCACAGCAACUCCUACUGUCACUAGAACACUCCCCAAAGGCAAACGUUUCAGGAGUAGCUCCCUGUCCAUCAGUCCAGCCCAAAGACACCCAGACACUCAUCACUUCAAGACCCCACCAAUCUCUCGAGGACCAAGGGCUGCGGGUCCUGUCUAUAGGCAUCUGCAGGAGGUGGAUUCUACUGAGACUGAGGCAGAGUCUUUAAAACGGCUUGAAAAUAGGAGGGACAGAGCAGAUGACCGCCAUCGCAGUGGCUUCCUGAAUAUGCAAACCCGGUCUCGUGCACCUGAGAAGAAGCAAUGGAGGGAGGUGCCGUGCACUCGCUUGGACAGAAGACUAACACCUUCUCCUCCCUCUCUCCGCACACACUCCGUUCCCAUCAUCCCCUCUCUGCAGGGAAAUGAAUGCGAGUGGGCUCGUGUGGACAGGCGCAGCCGGGGUGACUUGCAGGGAAGUGGUCUAGCCGGGUCAGGCUUCUCUUCAAUCUUAUCCUCUGAGGCUGUACUUGAAUCUGAGGCCAGACCCAGUUACAUAUGUCCCCGCAGUGCUAAGACUGCUCUGGGAUUGCAAACAUACCACAUGCAACCACAUACCUUUGAAACUCCAAAAGGAUCAGAGCGCAUGCUCCAACACUCAAGCCUUGCGGCCUCUGGGACAGCAUCAUCCGGAUCCAGGUUGAAUAGCACAAACACUGGUAUUUCUGUGACUGUGCUUAAGUCAGAGGGUAAAAGCAUGCAGUAUACACCCAGACUGCUCUACAGCUCUUCCGGAGGCAGGGGUCCUCAGGCAGCAGAGCAAAGACAGACCCAUGAGCUUGGUAAACAUGUCCCCCUGCUGAUUGAUGGAGAAGCAACCUGUUUCCUUUCAGCAGCGAUGGGCAGAGGCGCUGGAAUUACUUGUGCCAAAACUUCUGACAGCUGAUUUGAUUAUUUCUCACUAACCUGCAAGUCAAGACUCCGCCUACCGGCAUCGAUGACACGGGUUGGGGGUUGGACCACCUGCCUAACUAAUUGGACCAAUCCCAUAUGGUCUGUGGUUUCUGUAAAUGAGCCACAGCAUUCUGGAUUAAAGAGAGGAAUUUAUUGACACAUUAAAGACACUGAAUUAUUAAGAAAACACACACACACACACAGUUUAUGUGAAUAAUGUGAAACAAUGUAGACAGACAUAAAGACUGGGGAGGGAGCUUGAUUUAAAAGUGUAUUGAAAAAGCUUUAUUUAAACAAAGCUUCUACUUAGAAACCAAAAUAGUGUGUCAUCUCUAUGUUGUUUCUCUAUUGUAAAGAACUCAAAUUAUAUAUGUCAUAUAUAUGUCGUAUAGACGUAUAUAUAUUUGACAUGACGUGACAAAAUAAAGACAAAGACUACCGAGGUAGUGUGGUUGAUUGAAUUACUUAUAUCUCCCCACUGCUUCUUUGUUGUCUGUCUUUCAAAUCACUGCAUCUUUGUUGUCUGUCUUUUGAAGGUACAGCAGAGUAAAUUGUAUUUGAAAAUAUGUUUAUCCUAUUCGGAACUAUGUCAACAGGUGUUAAAGGAGGAUUCUAAAUACUCUGAUUUUCUUCCAUAAAAAUUAUAAUCAAGUCACACCCAGUGCUGCCCAGACACCUAAUGCCAUAGUUUUUUGCGAACGUUGAGAGAUUUCAGAAUGUACACAGCAAAAGACAGAUUGUUAGAGUCUCUGUCUCUGUCUCCAUGGCAACAGCAGCCCCAUUGAGCAUGACAAUGACACUUCCUUCCCCAGUCAAAGUAAAGUCCUCUAUUAAAUAAGGAGCAUCAUACAGAUUUUAUCAUUUAUUUGUUUCUCUUUCCCAAAACAGCCAUUUUAAUUAAAGCGCCAUGUCUCAUUAUUUGGCAUCAGCUCUUUUCAUAAACUCCAGCAAAGGAAAGCAGAAAAGUUUUUAACUAGCCAAUCUUCAGGUGAGAAUUUUUCUCAGAGGGAAUUCAUCAGGGAAAAGAUUAAAGCGGCAGCACCAGGGUUUGUCUCUGGUCCUGUUCACAAUAAAGACCAGCAACACAAAGGAAACAAUUUAUAUUUUCCUGCAAAUUAGUA